GGAUCUGAAGGGAAUUAGGCUGUGACGUCUGUCACCCCAUUGAUGGCCAGGGUUGAUCAGCUGAGUUGGCUGGCUAGGUGGGUGUCCCCUUCUUUCUUCAUUGCUCCAUUUACAUCGUUCCCAAAGCUGCAUGCUUGGUGGAAGAGGAUGAACAGAAUAACAUAGCUGUAAGGGACCUUAGAGAUCUUCUAGUCCAACUCCUUGCUCAAACAAGACCCUAUACCAUUUCAAAUCAAUGUCUCU
rnacentral:sRNA from 1 species